GCGAGAAAACUUUAGUCAAUGUGCGAAAGACACGACAAGGUUAAUCCGAGUGUUUUCUUGCUAAAGAAAUCUUCUGUCAGUCCUAGAAACACUGAUGAAUAAGGGGUGGGGCAAGUUCUGGUGUCAGCCGCCGCGGUAAAACCAGCACCUCAAGUGGUCAGGAUGAUUAUUGGGCCUAAAGCAUCCGUAGCCUGCUUUGUUAGUUUCGGUUAAAUCCAUUCGCUCAACGAAUGGGCUGCCGGGGAAUACUGC
rnacentral:rRNA from 1 species